rnacentral:lncRNA from 1 species
GCUGCUCUGGAAGGUUCCUCAUCUGGGUCAGCCCUGGGCAGGGCUCAGCCCGAGCUCACCUGCCGCCCUUCCUCCUGCGUAGACCCACGUGCCGGGCAGAGGCUCCUGGGUGCUGCUGCCAUCGCAGGAGCCCGAGCUUCGGGGGCUCUUUCCUGCAGACACCAAAGACCACGCCUGGGAGGAGCCCUUGAUCGAAAAUGGGGAACCAGGGGUGCCCGAGGAGCCCACGUUCCAGGUCAAAGCCUGGAGGAGGAGGGCCAGGACCCCACCGCCCCAGCUCCCCCUUCCCUGGACGCCUCCCGAAGGCCCUGGGGCAGCCCCGGCUCCUGGGGGCCGUCACCCACCUCUGGCCCCUGGGCCUGGGCCUGGCUAAGCCUCCUCUGAGCCUCAGCAGAGCUCAGAGGCACCUGCUGCUCCGGGCCUGCCUCCGGCUCCCCUCUCCCAGCCAGGGGAGAUUUCACAUCUGCAGGGGCCAGUUCCAGCGGGAAGGGGUGACCUCCAUCCGGGCACCGCCGCAGGUGGGUCGUGUGUCACCGCAAGCACUACUGGCCCCGAGCGGCUCCGGGCUGCUCACUCCCAGGACAGAGGCCAGCAGCCCGCGCCUGCCGCGCCCCUGCCAGCCCGGCCCUUUAGGUCUCCUCUGAGCCUUCCCUCCCCCAGCACCACAGAGCCCAGUGCUCCAGGCUGAGGCGGCUCGUGCCCUCCCUGGCACUGCGUCCUGCGCCCCGUGCUUCGGGGCUUCUGCUUUGGGCACCUCCUUUUCCUGCUGAGCACCUGGGGGGCCCGUGGGGAAGGGUCCG